rnacentral:rRNA from 1 species
AUGUCCGGUGAAUAUGGCCCUCGGCAUCUGCAGCUAUAUAUUUACGAUACAGAUGAAAACUUGAUUCAUAGGAUUAAGAGGUCUUCAGAUCUUAGGCUAGAUCUCAUACAGAAGAUUCUGACAAUACUACAACAUAACCCUUAUGCUCAAGCUUUUAGAAGCAUUGGUGAUGUUUCGUAUCUGGAUGAAUAUAUGAUCUCACUGAACACAGAUAUCAACCUUGAUGAGCGAAGGUACAAUGCCCCAACUACUUUGCAAGUAGCAGCAAUAUGGGUUGAAGGAAGUGACCCUCAAAAUAGCUUUGAUAGGAGUGUUGUCUUGUACGGCAAAGGAGAUCGCCCCGUGUAUAUUAGAGCAUACUAUGGCUGCUAUGACCCUUUGUCAUAUGCACUAUUCUUCCCACGUGGGGAGACCGGUUGGAAUCGUUGGAUGCCAUAUAUUGGGCUCCCCGAUGCCACAACCCAAGGUUCAGUGCAUGAUUCUGCACCACAAAGGAACCAAGCCACUGAUUUUCAUUCAGAUGACAACGAUGAUAACCUGGAGGAGUUUGGAGACAAUGAGAUUAAUGCCACAAAAUCCAGGAAAAUUGUUAGCGCGAGGGAGUACUAUUGCUUCAAGCUAUAG